rnacentral:rRNA from 1 species
UACGUAGGGGGCAAGCGUUGUCCGGAUUUAUUGGGCGUAAAGAGCGUGUAGGCGGCCGUACAGGUCAGCUGUGAAAACUCGAGGCUCAACCUCGAGACGUCGGUUGAAACCGUACGGCUAGAGUCCGGAAGAGGAGAGUGGAAUUCCCGGUGUAGCGGUGAAAUGCGCAGAUAUCAGGAAGAACACCAACGGCGAAGGCAGCUCGCUGGGACGGUACUGACGCUGAGACGCGAAAGCGUGGGGAGCGAACAGG